rfam:Salmo salar isolate Sally breed double haploid chromosome ssa29, whole genome shotgun sequence.
AAUGCACCAAUUUCUAAGUCGCUCUGGAUAAGAGCGUCUGCUAAAUGAUGUAAA